UUUUCCUACGGGGGGCAGCAGUGGGGAAUAUUGGGCAAUGGGCGCAAGCCUGACCCAGCAACGCCGCGUGAAGGAAGAAGGCUUUCGGGUUGUAAACUUCUUUUCUCAGGGACGAAGCAAGUGACGGUACCUGAGGAAUAAGCCACGGCUAACUACGUGCCAGCAGCCGCGGUAAUACGUAGGUGGCAAGCGUUAUCCGGAUUUACUGGGUGUAAAGGGCGUGUAGGCGGGACUGCAAGUCAGAUGUGAAAACCACGGGCUCAAACUGUGGCCUGCAUUUGAAACUGUAGUUCUUGAGGACUGGG
rnacentral:rRNA from 1 species